AAGCUAAAGUCUAUAAAUCUUGUUUUCCCCUUGCACUAUCAUUCAUCUCCACGUUGUGGUGAAAGGAUUUUCAAAGUCAUUGUUUCUGCUUCCGAAGAUGAAUGGUUCUUUAGCAAAGCUGAUGGCAAUUACAACACUAGUGUUGCUUCUGAUGGGGGAUUUCCAAGCAACUUGUGGACUACUUCCUCAUGGUAUAUCUAAUAAUUAUCUUCCUUUUAUGAGAUCUCUAAGCCUUAGCAUUAGCUACUUAAUUAAAUCGACUUAGUUUUUACCAAUUUUAUUAUUUGGUAGCUAAUUUCUUGCUUCUUGUGAUUUUCUCAUAUAAUUGAACAAGAUUGCUUUGAAUGUCAAAGUGAUAUUUUGAGCACGAAAGUGGUGCCCGUUCGCCGCAGCCUAAGACCAUUCAAAAGGCCACCACCCGCACCUGCUCGCAAUAAACCGGAAUCGCAUACGCCUGAGGUACAAGUGAAAUAAACAAACAUAAAACCCUUGGCAGAAACUCCCUGGAGCACUUCAUCGUUCCUAUUUUCUUGUAUUUUUAUUUGUUUUCUUAAGAGGAGUUAAGUUUAUAUCCCCCGUUCUUUUAUUGUAUUUUUUACUUUAUUAUUUCUUCUUAUAUU
rnacentral:lncRNA from 1 species